rnacentral:rRNA from 1 species
CCUACGGUGCGCAGCAGUGAGGAAUAUUGGUCAAUGGACGCGAGCCUGAACCAGCCAAGUCGCGUGCGGGACGACGGUCCUAUGGAUUGUAAACCUCUUUUGUCGGGGAGCAAAAGACGCCACGCGUGGCGUUCCGCGAGUACCCGCAGAAAAAGCAUCGGCUAACUCCGUGCCCGCAGCCGCGGUAAUACGGAGGAUGCGAGCGUUAUCCGGCUUUCUUGGGUUUAAAGGGUGCGUAGGCGGGCCUUCAGGCGGGCGGUAAAAUUGCGGGGCUCAACCCGGCCGAGCCGGCGGAAGCGGGGGCAUUGAGUACGGGAGAAGUAGGCGGAAUGCGUGGUGUAGCGGUGAAAUGCAUAGAUAUCACGCAGAACCCCGAUUGCGAAGGCAGCGUACCGGCCGGUCACUGACGCUGAGGCACGAAAGCGCGGGUAUCGAACAGGAUUAGAUACCCGAGUAGUC